CACAUGCAAGUCGAGCGGAAAGGCCCUUUCGGGGGUACUCGAGCGGCGAACGGGUGAGUAACACGUGAGUAAUCUGCCCUCCACUUUGGGAUAACUGCCUGAAAGGGUGGCUAAUACCGGGUAUUCUCCUUGCGCCGCAUGGUGUGGGGUGGGAAGUUUUUUCGGUGGGGGAUGUGCUCGCGGCCUAUCAGCUUGUUGGUGGGGUAAUGGCCUACCAAGGCUUUGACGGGUAGCCGGCCUGAGAGGGUGACCGUCCACACUGGGACUGAGACACGGCCCAGACUCCUACGGGAGGCAGCAGUGGGGAAUAUUGGACAAUGGGCGGAAGCCUGAUCCARCAACGCCGCGUGAGGGAUGACGGCCUUCGGGUUGUAAACCUCUUUCAGCACAGAUGAAGCGCCUGUGAAGGUGGUGACGG
rnacentral:rRNA from 1 species